rnacentral:rRNA from 1 species
GACGAACGCUGGCGGCGUGCUUAACACAUGCAAGUCGAACGGAAAGGCCCUGCUCUUGUGUGGUGCUCGAGUGGCGAACGGGUGAGUAACACGUGAGUAACCUGCCCUUGACUUUGGGAUAACUUCAGGAAACUGGGGCUAAUACCCGAUAGGAGCUCCUGCUGCAUGGUGGGGGUUGGAAAGUUUCGGCGGUUGGGGAUGGACUCGCGGCUUAUCAGCUUGUUGGUGGGGUAGUGGCUUACCAAGGCUUUGACGGGUAGCCGGCCUGAGAGGGUGACCGGCCACAUUGGGACUGAGAUACGGCCCAGACUCCUACGGGAGGCAGCAGUGGGGAAUAUUGCACAAUGGGCGGAAGCCUGAUGCAGCAACGCCGCGUGCGGAAUGACGGCCUUCGGGUUGUAAACCGCUUUCGCCUGUGACGAAGCGUGAGUGACGGUAAUGGGUAAAGAAGCACCGGCUAACUACGUG